CACAUUACUCUUGAGGUGAAAUGCUUACACUUUCAUUUAUAGACCAAAUAAUGUUUAAUAUUUAAUUUACAAUUAUAAUACUAAAUCUUAAUCUAACCUAUGGCAUUCAUCAUUUACUGCAAAGACUACUUGGGUAUCUAAUCCUGUUUGUGCUCUGUGCCUUCGUCCUUUAACGUCAGUUUUUACAUAGAGGGCUGCCUUCGCCUUUACCGAGUCCCUUUGGUAUCAUAGAAUUUCAUCUCUCCUCCUCAAGUACUGCCCUCUUACAUAAAACUCUAGUCAAGUACUAACAUUAUAGAAGCUAUAUUGACCGUCUAGGUACCCUUUAAACCUAAUUAAGAUGAAUAACACUAGUCUCUUACGUAUUACCGCGACUGCUGGCACGCAAUUAGUCAAGACACAAUAUAUAUMCUGUCAUUAUCAAUAUAUAAACAAAGCUUUAUUCAAUUUUAAUACAAUCCUAUAGAUUAUAUUCAAAGAUAUAAUCAAAAUAGGACUUGCCACUUCUCCAAGUUGCCAGUUCAGCC
rnacentral:rRNA from 1 species